rnacentral:lncRNA from 1 species
UGAAGGGAGUAGUAGAUACAACAAUGAGAAGGAGCAGCGGCUACACUCCCAGACAGAAUUCUGGAUGGGACACCACGUCCCAGGACUACCGUGCCCAUCUUGCCAGAAUGGAAAGACAGCCCACCAUGAUCCCUGGUGCAUCUCAGUACCCCACUGUCCACAAGGCCUUUAACAACAAAUACAGCUCUGAGGAAGAGGUUGUUGAGUUUAAGGAAGAACAUCACCAAAAGCAGCGGUCCCCAAAAUCUGAAAAGAAGGUUCAGAUAGUUGAGCAUGUAGAAACCAUUGAGGAAACAACGGAUGGGAACUAUGAGGUUCAUGAAGAAACCACCGUCGAUGUGGAAGCUGGUGGCUACAUCCAGCAGAAGCACAAGGCGUUUGAACUGUGCAAAUGGAAGACCUUCAAAGUGCACUAGACUUUGGGAGCAUGUUAAUCAUGAUUAAAUGACAGGCCAAGUAACCAUAGAUAGUAUUGCUGAUGCAGUUACUUAAAUAAAUGGCCCGUCUAAUUUGGCUUGGAGUGCUACCAAAGCCCCGUGUGUUCCCUCUUAUUUUCUCUUUAACUAAGCUUUAAAGUUGGUUGCUUGCAUAGCAGAUAGCUUUUGUGUAUGCCCUGAUGUAUUUGUUGUUAUUGAUAAUUAUGAAUACUAUAUAAACCUUGCAGUAAUUUCAGCAGGACCAAUAACAGAUCUAAUCAAGUUGCUUUUCUCUACCUGCCCCAUCGCCAGUCUUCUAGCUAAUUGAAUAGCUCACACUCAUAGCGCCCCUGCCAGUUGAAGUAAUCAAACACUUAAAAUUUGACCCAAUUGAAGCAAUGUUCUAGAGGUGAAUGGAGGCGAGGGUUUGAAACUUUGGCAGUUGAUAUCCCAUUCAAGUUGUGAUACUAGACUUAAAAAUCCUCUGCACUCUGGAGCAACCCUGGAAAUAUCUUACCUGAAACCUUCUUCAGAUAUAGGCCUACAAGUUAGGUGGUUCCAGGGAUCAACAGUGGCUCAUAACACUAGAAAAAUUAAAAAUUAAGGUAUCAGUUAGUUCUUCAUGAACCUUAAGAUUGCACCAGAUGAAUAUUAAAAUCAAGUUGGGCCAUUAAAAAUUCAUAUCCAUUACAACAAUACGGGUACCGCUAGCAGCCAGCCAAUAGCAGUUGAAUGAAAGCAGGCUUUUUGCCAAAUAGUACUCAAUAUCUUUCUCUGUCUGGACCAUGAUCGAGAUGCUGAUCUUGAUCUUUUCAACUGCUAUUUAACUCUAUACUAUGUUGUCAAGGCAAAAGAUUCAGUCCAAGUAGCUAAUUAGUAUUCCUGCAAUAAUGUUAUGGUAAAGAUGUAAAGUGCCUUGAGAUCAUAGCAGAGAAUAUCCCAACGGAGUAGGGACAGGGCCAUUGUAUAUGUAAAUUGGACCUUUUCAAGAUCCGAUCCACUUGUUGUCUUGUUAUUCCUA